UUCUUCUUCCUCCUUCCAUCUUAUGUUUCUCUCCUCUUCCAUGAAAGCUUCUCUCAAGCUUCCAACACUCUCUCAAACUAACCUUAAUUUUCAUGCUUUACACACCCUGUUAUAGGAUUUUUCAUACUCUGUUACUCCUUCACUUUAAACAAACCCUUAAAAGUCUUUCUUCAAUACUUUCUCUCACCAGCUGAACUUUGUAGAGAGAGAAAGGGAGGUUUCAUGUUAGCUUGAGGACUCUUGGAAAGAAAUUUCAUUACAAUCACCAAGGUGAGUGAUGAAUUAGGACUGAUUUUAAGUUGUUGAUGAUGGCUAGUAAUUAGAAUUAUGAGUUGUGUUAUUUACCGAAAUUGUUUAUCUAUUUCUAGUGUUACUAAAGUAGAGAAACGAAAUAGUCAAUCAAAUGGUAAUUGGAAGAUAGAUAGGAAGAGCUAUUGAAGCUUGAUUUGGGAAACAACUUUUGGAGUGAUAUUAAUGUAAAUUGGAUUGGCUGUGAUGUUUUCGUCCGUGAUAGGUUCCAACAAGGCCCCUCAGCCCCAUUUGGACCAUUAGGGAGGUUAGAGUAGAUUAAAGGUUCAACAAAUAUCAGUGAGUGAACUUGUAUUAAAAGGUUUUGGGAUAUACACAUAUAUGUUUGAUUGAAUCCCCUAAAACGUUUUACUUGGGGUGAGUGUGCACUUGCCGGUGAUGACGGUGGUGAGGGAGAUGGAUGGUGAUACUACCCGUGUGCACGAUGUGGGGGGAUGCACACGAUGGCAUUAACUGUGCACGAUGUAGAGGGAUGCACAUGAGCUGGGUGAGAUAGGGUGUUCUGCUAUGUGCAAGAUGUGAGGGGAUGCACAUGAGCUGGGUGAGAUGGGGUGUCCGGCUAUGUGCACGAUGUGGGGGGAUGCAAAUGAGCUAGGUGAGAUGGGGUGUCCGGCUAUGUGCACAAUGUGGGGGAAUGCACAUAAGCUGGGUGAGAUAGGCACGAUGUGGGGGAAUGGACAUGAGCUGGGUUAGAUGUGGUUGUAUACGAAUUGGUAUAUGCUUAAGUAUAUGUAUAUGCAAUAAAAAGAUCAUGAUUAUAAUAUGUGAUUGUAUGGUAUGAUGAAUCUUGAAAAUUUCUCAUUAACUUGCAAAUUGAUUUUAUUGCAGCGAGAAACAUGCUAUUUAUGAUGCCUUGCUUGGAUGAUUGCUGAAAAUUUCCUCUCUUUCCAAUUUCACGCCGAACAUGGUUCCUUCAUCAUUAAAUGAUUUUACAACCAAGGGUUAAAUGGAAGGAUUUUAAUAAGAACUUGAACUAAUUUGCAUUGUUUUCAAAUAAGUGCAUCAUGAUUAUCAACUUUCCUUAUCGUUACUUGUUCCCUUCCUAUGUUCACUCACUUGGUUUAUACUCACGUUUUUAAACUUCAUGUUUUAGGUUCUUUGAGUUAAAGGUGACUAAAUCUUAGGACAAGGUGCUCCUCCCUAUCCAUUACUCAGUAGGUUUGUCAUGAUACUAAGUGUUAGCACCCACGCCCAAAGUCACUCUGCUAACGGUCAGAGUCUUUGAAUGUGCAUAUGUAAACUGGAUGUAACUUGCUAAGAAUCGUUUGGUAAACUAUUUAUGUAUAUUCUAAUUAAUGAAUACCAUUAUAAGUAUAUACUUGGAUUUUAUGAAUUGAUU
rnacentral:lncRNA from 1 species